rnacentral:rRNA from 1 species
UACAGAGGUCUCAAGCGUUUGUUCGGAUUCAUUGGGCGUAAAGGGUGCGUAGGCGGCGCGGUAAGUCGGGUGUGAAAUCUUGGAGCUUAACUCCGAAACUGCAUUCGAUACUGCGGUGCUUUGAGGACUGGAGAGGAGACUGGAAUUCAUGGUGUAGCAGUGAAAUGCGUAGAGAUCAUGAGGAAGACCAGUGGCGAAGGCGGGUCUCUGGACAGUUCCUGACACUGAGACACGAAAGGCCAGGGGAGCAAACGGG